rnacentral:misc_RNA from 1 species
UUUCCGUAGGUGAACCUGCGGAAGGAUCAUUAUUGUAUAAUCGAGGUGCGAGGGCUGUCGCUGACCCGAAAGUUCGUGCACGCCCGAGUGCCCUCACACACAUCCAUCUCACCCCUAUGUGCACCACCGCGUGGGUCCCCCUUUGGCUUGUUCGGAGGGGGGCUUACGUUUUCACACAAACUUUGUAUGCAGUGUAGAAUGUAUUUUUUGUUUUUGCGAUCACGCAAUCAAUACAACUUUCAACAACGGAUCUCUUGGCUCUC